UACAGAGGGUGCGAGCGUUGUCCGGAAUCACUGGGCGUAAAGGGCGCGUAGGCGGCCUGGCAAGUCUGUGGUGAAAGCUCGUGGCUCAACUGCGAGUCGGCCAUAUACUGCGAGGCUCGAGUCGACUAGAGGCAGAUGGAAUUCCGGGUGUAGCGGUGGAAUGCGUAGAGAUCCGGAAGAACACCCAGGGGGAAACCAGCCGACUGGGCAUCUACUGACGCUGAGGUGCGAAAGCGUGGGGAGCAAACAGG
rnacentral:rRNA from 1 species